rnacentral:rRNA from 1 species
GUUGUAUAGUUAAGUGACUAAGCGUACAAGGUGGAUGCCUUGGCAAUCAGAGGCGAAGAAGGACGUGCUAAUCUGCGAAAAGCUUGGAUGAGUCGAUAAGAGGCGUUUAAUCCAAGAUAUCCGAAUGGGGAAACCCAGUAGAUGAAGAAUCUACUAUCAACAAGUGAAUUCAUAGCUUGUUGAGGCAAACCGGGAGAACUGAAACAUCUAAGUACCCCGAGGAAAAGAAAUCAACCGAGAUUUCGUCAGUAGCGGCGAGCGAAAGCGAAAGAGCCAGUAAGUGAUAGCAAUAUAGUUAGGAGAAUGUGUUGGGAAGCACAAUCAAAGAGGGUGAUAAUCCCGUAUCUAAAAACCAUAUUGUGGUACUAAGCUAACGAGAAGUAGGGCGGGACACGUGAUAUCCUGUUUGAAGAAGGGGGGACCAUCCUCCAAGGCUAAAUACUCCUGAUUGACCGAUAGUGAACCAGUACUGUGAAGGAAAGGCGAAAAGAACCCCGGUGAGGGGAGUGAAAUAGAACCUGAAACCUUGUACGUACAAGCAGUGGGAGCCCCAUCACUUAAUCCGAUUGGAAGGUGAUGAAAAGCAACCGCACUUAAACAAUGGUAAGAGGAGCGAAGCGAGUCAAACCACCCAAAAGAAGCAGUGGGAUUAAGUGAUGGGGUGACUGCGUACCUUUUGUAUAAUGGGUCAGCGACUUAUAUUUUGUAGCGAGGUUAACCGAAUAGGGGAGCCGAAGGGAAACCGAGUCUUAACUGGGCGUUGAGUUGCAGGGUAUAGACCCGAAACCCGGUGAUCUAGCCAUGGGCAGGUUGAAGGUUGGGUAACACUAACUGGAGGACCGAACCGACUAAUGUUGAAAAAUUAGCGGAUGACUUGUGGCUGGGGGUGAAAGGCCAAUCAAACCGGGAGAUAGCUGGUUCUCCCCGAAAUCUAUUUAGGUAGAGCCUUGAGGUGACACCUUUGGGGGUAGAGCACUGUUUCGGCUAGGGGUCCAUCCCGGAUUACCAACCCGAUGCAAACUACGAAUACCAAAGAGUGAUACUCAGGAGACACACGGCGGGUGCUAACGUCCGUCGUGGAGAGGGAAACAACCCAGACCGCCAGCUAAGGUCCCCAAGUCUAUAUUAAGUGGGAAACGAAGUGGGAAGGCUUAGACAGCUAGGAUGUUGGCUUAGAAGCAGCCAUCAUUUAAAGAAAGCGUAAUAGCUCACUAGUCGAGUCGGUCUGCGCGGAAGAUGUAACGGGGCUGAAAUAUAGCACCGAAGCUGCGGCAUCAGGCGUAUCACUAAUACGCCUGUUGGGUAGGGGAGCGUUGUGUAAGCGGAAGAAGGUUCAUCGAGAGGUGGGCUGGACGUAUCACAAGUGCGAAUGCUGACAUAAGUAACGAUAAAACGGGUGAAAAACCCGUUCGCCGGAAGACCAAGGGUUCCUGUCCAACGUUAAUCGGGGCAGGGUAAGUCGGCCCCUAAGGCGAGGCUGAAAAGCGUAGUCGAUGGGAAACAGGUUAAUAUUCCUGUACUUGGUAAAGCUGCGAUGUGGGGACGGAGUAGGUUAGGUUAUCGCACUGUUGGAUAUGUGCGUUUAAGUUGGUAGGUGGGAAGUUUAGGCAAAUCCGGACUUCCUUAACACAGAGAGAUGAUGACGAGGCUCUACGGAGCUGAAGUAACUGAUACCACACUUCCAGGAAAAGCCACUAAGCGAAAGGCUUUACUAAACCGUACUGAAAACCGACACAGGUGGUCAGGUAGAGAAUACUCAGGCGCUUGAGAGAACUCGGGUGAAGGAACUAGGCAAAAUAGCACCGUAACUUCGGGAGAAGGUGCGCCGGCGUAGAUUGUAAGGGCUAGCCCCUGAAGGUUGAACCGGUCGAAGUGACCAGCUGGCUGCAACUGUUUAUUAAAAACACAGCACUCUGCAAACACGAAAGUGGAGGUAUAGGGUGUGAUGCCUGCCCGGUGCUGGAAGGUUAAUUGAUGGUGUCAUCGCAAGAGAAGCACCUGAUCGAAGCCCCAGUAAACGGCGGCCGUAACUAUAACGGUCCUAAGGUAGCGAAAUUCCUUGUCGGGUAAGUUCCGACCUGCACGAAUGGCAUAAUGAUGGCCAGGCUGUCUCCACCCGAGACUCAGUGAAAUUGAAAUCGCCGUGAAGAUGCGGUGUACCCGCGGCUAGACGGAAAGACCCCGUGAACCUUUACUAUAGCUUGACACUGAACAUUGAAUUUUGAUGUGUAGGAUAGGUGGGAGACUUUGAAGUAGGAACGCCAGUUUCUAUGGAGUCAUCCUUGAAAUACCACCCUUUAACGUUUGAUGUUCUAACGAAGAUUGCGGAACGUGGUCUCGGACAGUGUCUGGUGGGUAGUUUGACUGGGGCGGUCUCCUCCCAAAGCGUAACGGAGGAGCACGAAGGUUUGCUAAUCACGGUCGGACAUCGUGAGGUUAGUGCAAUGGUAUAAGCAAGCUUAACUGCGAGACAGACAAGUCGAGCAGGUACGAAAGUAGGUCAUAGUGAUCCGGUGGUUCUGAAUGGAAGGGCCAUCGCUCAACGGAUAAAAGGUACUCCGGGGAUAACAGGCUGAUACCGCCCAAGAGUUCAUAUCGACGGCGGUGUUUGGCACCUCGAUGUCGGCUCAUCACAUCCUGGGGCUGAAGUAGGUCCCAAGGGUAUGGCUGUUCGCCAUUUAAAGUGGUACGCGAGCUGGGUUUAGAACGUCGUGAGACAGUUCGGUCCCUAUCUGCCGUGGGCGUAGGAUGAUUGAUUGGGGCUGCUCCUAGUACGAGAGGACCGGAGUGGACGCAUCACUGGUGUUCCAGUUGUCUCGCCAGAGGCAUUGCUGGGUAGCUAAAUGCGGAAGAGAUAAGUGCUGAAAGCAUCUAAGCACGAAACUUGCCAAGAGAUGAGUCAUCCCUGACUUUAAGUCAGUAAGGGUUGUUGUAGACUACGACGUAGAUAGGUCAGGUGUGUAAGUGUAGUGAUACAUUGAGCUAACAGAUACUAAUUGCCCGAGAGGCUUAACUAUACAACGCUCAAG